AUACUCUAAGUCUAUACUUUGUUCUUGCUCUUCUGCAGAUUGUGAAAGCCUAUGCUUUGGAUCUAUGUUACUGAGUUUCUGACUUUGUUUUUUGGAAGCUAUUCUGGAUGAUCAAGCCUGUCUACGCUUUGAGGAUUGCAUAUCCUAUCUUCUGUCUUCGUUGGAUUCGCAUGAAGCUGGCAGCUUUCCUGCUCUCUACAUCUCCUGAGCCAAGCCACAAGCGUACCCUGUCCACCCUCCAACAUAUUCCUGCUUAAGACCUGGAUCCUGAAUCUCAUUUCGCCCUGGUGACCUGACCACCAUUAUCCAGUAAGCCAAUCUCUGCAUCUUGUUAAUCAUUCAUUCUUAGUUUUGUUACCCGUACUCAUCCAUUCUCUUCACUUCUUUCCCUACAAUUAGAUUCACGUCAGUUUUCGUUCCUGUUUGUUUUUUCAAUAAAACAGUUUUUAUUUUA